UACGUAGGUGGCAAGCGAUACUCGGAAUCACUAGGCGUAAAGCGCAGGUAGGCGGUUCGGUAAGUCUUUUGUGAAAGCUCCCGGCUCAACUGGGAGAGGUCAAGGGAAACUACUGGACUAGAGUGUGGUAGGGGAUACUGGAAUUCCUGGUGUAGCGGUGAAAUGCGUAGAUAUCAGGAGGAAUACCUAUGGCGAAAGCAGGUAUCUGGGCCAUCACUGACGCUGAGCUGCGAAAGCUAGGGGAGCAAACAGG
rnacentral:rRNA from 1 species